rnacentral:rRNA from 1 species
CACUUAACAGCUAGCCCACACAUUAAACCCAACACUCAAAUAUUUAUAACCCUAAAAAUC